AGCAGCCGCGGUAAUUCCAGCUCCAAUAGCGUAUAUUAAAGUUGUUGCAGUUAAAAAGCUCGUAGUUGAAUUUCGGGACUAAUAUGUCGGUCGUACUUUGUACGUACUAGCAUUAUUGGUUUCUCCCUUCUGACGAACCACGAUGUCAUUAAUUUGGUGUCGUGGGAAAUCAGGACUGUUACUUUGAAAAAAUUGAGUGUUUAAAGCAAGCUCGCGCUUGAAUACAUUAGCAUGGAAUAAUGAAAUAGGACGUUUGAUUCUAUUUUGUUGGUUUCUAGGAUCGACGUAAUGAUUAAUAGGGAUAGUUGGGGGCAUUAGUAUUCAAUUGUCAGAGGUGAAAUUCUUGGAUUUUAUUGAAGACUAACUACUGCGAAAGCAUUUGCCAAGGAUGUUUUCA
rnacentral:rRNA from 1 species